UGCAGCCAAUCUCUCAGACGGAUGGAUGCUCGCUCGUUCUUUUUUUUUUUUUUAAUCUGCAAACCCUACGGCAGCAACAACGGCCACGCAGGAACAGCACACUUCGCCGACAAUUGUUCCCAAUGAUGCUCCCUAAGAUGUACCAGUAAGGAGAUGGAUGCAUCUCUCAAGCACUACACAGGGACUGUUGCAUGCUUAACCUCUAUGAAGCCCUGCCAACCAUCUAAGAGAGUUUUAGAAAAUUCUGAUCAGCCCUGCUCAGAUGAGGAAGACAGAUUAUAAACAGCAGUGGAGCUGCACACCUCGUUUCAUCAUGCAAGCCAAAAAACCCACAGAAAUUAAACCAAGAGCGGGAAAAAGAUGAAGACUUAAAUCUGCGCUGGGAAUACUCCAAAGACUCAUUAACAGAUGAAAAAGUAUGAUUAUCUUAUUAAGUGUACUACCAGCCAUACAGAGGCUUUGAUCAAAACAAUAAUUAAACCACCAAUAACAAUCUCUCUGCAUCAUUAAAUACUUUUGUACAAAUAAAUUAACUCUGCCAGACAGAAAAAUGAAAUGGAGAUAAUUCACCUCAACUAACUAUACGUUCAAAUGCUCAGGGAACCUCUCACAUUCUUACCUGGAAAGCACUACCAUUCUUCUUCCAAAAAAACCUUUUAAAUAAAUGAUCAUGACAGCAUCCCUUUACAUUUCUGUGCUUACACCACCAUGAUAAAUCAAUGAACCACGUGGCUUGAGAUAACAGCCCGUCCCUUGGCCAGCGGUGAAAACUGAUUCUUCCCUUACAGAGAGCGCACGCAGCUGGGGAGGAAUAUUUAUUUCUGAGCAAAGUAAAUGGACACUCAAGUGCAAUUGUUGAGAUGCA